UCUCUCUGCAAGGCGCGCACCACCACCACCACCACCACCACCUCCUCCUCCUCCUCUUCCUCCUCCUCCACUACCGGAGAGCCCCACACGCUGCUGAACCACCGGCCGCCUUGCGAGCACCCUAAAGCCGGCAGACGAGCGACCCAGGCCGGGCAACAGGAGCGGGGAUUCACCGCAGCUGAUGACCCCCCCCCUCCCCUCUCUCUCUCUCUCUCUCUCUCUCUCUCCUCUCCCCACUACUCCUUCUUCUCACCCAGCUGGGACUAAAUAACCAAACGGAGAGUUGGCCCCGGAUACAAAGAGUCCGACAAGAGUCGUAGCUACGGCGUCCCGUAGCCAGCCUUGGCGUUCGUCAUCCUCAGAGUUUCUCUUCAUCCAACCCAACCGGACUCCUCCUCUUCCCAACCUUCCUCUUCUCUGGUCUUCUCACCUUCAUCUUCUCUGUGACUUUAUUCAUCACCUCCCGUCCUCCACUUCUUCUCCUUCGUCCCCCCUUUGACCCCAAGUUCAAUCAUGGCGUCCAAGCUGAACCCCAACGUCCUGUACGUGGCCGAACCCGGCGAGUCGCUGGGAUCGCCUCAAGGAGACUCGGAGAGGACUCAUAUUGCUGGAGAACCCGGAGAAGAAUCAUCAGACAGUGACGGCGAACAAGAAGAAACCUCCCACAAACUGAUUCGCAAAGUGUCAACUUCGGGACAGAUUCGAGCCAAGGUAAG